rnacentral:tRNA from 1 species
GCGGGCAUAGUUGAAAGGCUCAACAACUCCCUUCCAAGGAGUAGAUCGGAGUUCGAUUCUCCGUGCCCGCU